ensembl:snRNA U6 U6 spliceosomal RNA
AAGCCUUGGCAGCACAUAUAUUAAAAUUGGGAUGAUACAGAGAAGAUUAGCAUGGCCCCGGCACAUCAAGGAUGACACGUAAAUUUGUGAAGCAUUUCCAUAUUAA